rnacentral:rRNA from 1 species
AGAGUUUGAUCAUGGCUCAGAUUGAACGCUGGCGGCAGGCCUAACACAUGCAAGUCGAGCGGUAGAGAGAAGCUUGCUUCUCUUGAGAGCGGCGGACGGGUGAGUAAUGCCUAGGAAUCUGCCUAGUGGUGGGGGAUAACGUUCGGAAACGGACGCUAAUACCGCAUACGUCCUACGGGAGAAAGCGGGGGAUCUUCGGACCUCGCGCCAUUAGAUGAGCCUAGGUCGGAUUAGCUAGUUGGUGAGGUAAUGGCUCACCAAGGCGACGAUCCGUAACUGGUCUGAGAGGAUGAUCAGUCACACUGGAACUGAGACACGGUCCAGACUCCUACGGGAGGCAGCAGUGGGGAAUAUUGGACAAUGGGCGAAAGCCUGAUCCAGCCAUGCCGCGUGUGUGAAGAAGGUCUUCGGAUUGUAAAGCACUUUAAGUUGGGAGGAAGGGCAGUAACCUAAUACGUUAUUGUUUUGACGUUACCGACAGAAUAAGCACCGGCUAACUUCGUGCCAGCAGCCGCGGUAAUACGAAGGGUGCAAGCGUUAAUCGGAAUUACUGGGCGUAAAGCGCGCGUAGGUGGUUCAGUAAGUUGGAAGUGAAAUCCCCGGGCUCAACCUGGGAACUGCUUUCAAAACUGCUGAGCUAGAGUACGGUAGAGGGUGGUGGAAUUUCCUGUGUAGCGGUGAAAUGCGUAGAUAUAGGAAGGAACACCAGUGGCGAAGGCGACCACCUGGACUGAUACUGACACUGAGGUGCG